rnacentral:rRNA from 1 species
UUUUCUUUUACAGUUUGAGGGAUUGGCGGAAGGGCACCACCGGGAGUGGAGCUUGCGGCUUAAUUUGACUCAACACGGGAAAACUUACUUGGUCCUGACACUAGAAGGAUUGACAGACUGAUAGCUCUUUCUUGAAUCGGUGGAUGGUGGUGCAUGGCCGUUAUUAGUUGGUGGAGUGAUUUGUCUGUUUAAUUCCGAUGACGGACGAGACUCUAGCCUAUUAAAUAACACACAGAAUCAUGUUUUUUGCGGUGUUUCUUAAUGGGAUCAAGUGUGUCUAACACUUUGAAACAGAGCAAUAACAGGUUUGUGAUGGCCUUAGAUGUUUGGGGCCGCACGCGCGCGCUCCAUGAAAGGACAAAAUGUGCG